UGAGGAAUAUUGGUCAAUGGGCGAGAGCCUGAACCAGCCAAGUCGCGUGAGGGAAGACGGUCCUAUGGAUUGUAAACCUCUUUUGCCGGGGAGCAAAGAGCGGUACGUGUACCGCGCCGAGAGUACCCGGAGAAAAAGCAUCGGCUAACUCCGUGCC
rnacentral:rRNA from 1 species